CCUACGGGAGGCAGCAGUAAGGAAUAUUGGUCAAUGGACGCAAGUCUGAACCAGCCAUGCCGCGUGCAGGAUGAAGGCCCUCUGGGUUGUAAACUGCUUUUAUAGGGGACGAAAAAGGGACUUUCUAGUUCAACUGACGGUACCCUAGGAAUAAGCACCGGCUAACUCCGUGCCAGCAGCCGCGGUAAUACGGAGGGUGCAAGCGUUAUCCGGAUUUACUGGGUUUAAAGGGUGCGUAGGUGGGUCGGUAAGUCAGCGGUGAAAUCUUCAAGCUUAACUUGGAAACUGCCAUUGAUACUAUCGAUCUUGAAUCAUCUGGAGGUAAGCGGAAUAUGUCAUGUAGCGGUGAAAUGCUUAGAUAUGACAUAGAACACCAAUUGCGAAGGCAGCUUACUACGGAUGUAUUGACACUGAGGCACGAAAGCGUGGGGAUCAAACAGGAUUAGAUACCCUGGUAGUCCACGCCCUAAACGAUGGAUACUCGACAUACGUGAUAUACUAUGUGUGUCUGAGCGAAAGCAUUAAGUAUCCCACCUGGGAAGUACGAUCGCAAGAUUGAAACUUAAAGGAAUUGACGG
rnacentral:rRNA from 1 species